rnacentral:rRNA from 1 species
GCGGAGGGAUCAUUACCGAGUUAUACAACUCAUCAACCCUGUGAACAUACCUAUAACGGUUGCCUCGGCGGGAACAGACGGCCCCGUAACACGGGCCGCCCCCGCCAGAGGACCCCCUAACUCUGUUUCUAUAAUGUUUCUUCUGAGUAAACAAGCAAAUAAAUUAAAACUUUCAACAACGGAUCUCUUGGCUCUGGCAUCGAUGAAGAACGCAGCGAAAUGCGAUAAGUAAUGUGAAUUGCAGAAUUCAGUGAAUCAUCGAAUCUUUGAACGCACAUUGCGCCCGCCAGUAUUCUGGCGGGCAUGCCUGUUCGAGCGUCAUUACAACCCUCAGGCCCCCGGGCCUGGCGUUGGGGAUCGGCGGAAGCCCCCUGCGGGCACAACGCCGUCCCCCAAAUACAGUGGCGGUCCCGCCGCAGCUUCCAUUGCGUAGUAGCUAACACCUCGCAACUGGAGAGCGGCGCGGCCACGCCGUAAAACACCCAACUUCUGAAUGUUGACCUCGGAUCAGGUAGGAAUACCCGCUG